UGGUUCAGUUGGUAGAGCAUGGCGCUUUUAAUGCCACAGUGGUGGGUUAGAUUUCCAC
rnacentral:tRNA from 1 species